AUGCUGAUAGUAUAUUCCGUACAAUUGCCUUCCAAGCAGAAAGACCAAAAUGGUCAGCAUA
rnacentral:tRNA from 1 species